GAAAAGUCAGCGUACUUUCAUUUUUUUUUUCUGUACAGCGACAAUUCGUGUCAAAGAAAAGGACAAAGAAUAAAAUAUUGGGAAAAUGGUUGUU
rnacentral:ribozyme from 14 species